CCUACGGGGGGCAGCAGUAGGGAAUUUUGCGCAAUGGGCGAAAGCCUGACGCCGCAACGCCGCGUGAUCGAGUCGCCCUUCGGGGUGUAAAGAUCUGUCAGUGGGGACGAAACUUGACGGUACCCACAGAGUAAGCACCGGCUAACUCCGAUCCAGACGCCGCGGGAAUACGGGGGGAGCAAGCGUGGUCCGGAAUCACUGGGCGUAAAGAGCACGUAGGCGGCACUGUAGGUCUGUGGUUAAAGUCAGAGGCUCAACCUUUGUACGGCAAUUGAUACUUGCGAGCUAGAAUACGGUAGAGGUAAGGGGAAUUCGUGGUGUAGCGGUGAAAUGCUUAGAUAUCAGGAGGAACCUCGAUGGCGAAGGCGCUUUACUGGACCGUAAUUGACGCUGAUGAACGAAAGCGAGGGUAGCAAAUAGGAUUAGAUACCCUUGUAGUC
rnacentral:rRNA from 1 species